rnacentral:rRNA from 1 species
CGGCCACGAAGGUCCAUCGGGAAAUCCGCCAGCUCAACUGGCGGGCGUCCGGUGGAAACCACGUGGCUUGGGACCGGAAGGCUCGAGGGGUACGUCCGGGGUAGGAGUGAAAUCCCGUAAUCCUGGACGGACCACCGAUGGCGAAAGCACCUCGAGAAGACGGAUCCGACGGUGAGGGACGAAAGCUAGGGUCUCGAACCGGAUUAGAUACCCGGGUAGUCCUAGCUGUAAACGAUGCUCGCUAGGUGUGGCACAGGCUACGAGCCUGUGCUGUGCCGUAGGGAAGCCGAGAAGCGAGCCGCCUGGGAA